rnacentral:rRNA from 1 species
UACGGAGGUGGCAAGCGUUACUCGGAUUCAUUGGGUGUAAAGGGCAGGUAGGUGGUUCUGUAAGUCGGGAGUGAAAUCCCUCGGCUCAACCGAGGAAUUGCUUUCGAAACUACAGGACUUGAGUCUAGAAGAGGAGAGUGGAAUUCCCGGUGUAAGGGUGAAAUCUGUAGAUAUCGGGAGGAACAUCAGUGGCGAAGGCGACUCUCUGGUCUAGUUCUGACACUGAGCUGCGAAAGCUAGGGGAGCAAACAGG